rnacentral:rRNA from 1 species
AGGUUAAGUUAACAAGGGCGCAUGGUGAAUGCCUUGGCACUAGGAGCCGAUGAAGGACGGGACUAACACCGAUAUGCUUCGGGGAGCUGUACGUAAGCUAUAAUCCGGAGAUUUCCGAAUGGGGCAACCCAGCAGUUUUAAUCAACUGUUACCACUAGAUGAAUUCAUAGUCUAGUUGGAGGUAAACGCUGUGAACUGAAACAUCUCAUUAGCAGCAGGAAUAUAAAGAAAUUUCGAUUCCCUAAGUAGCGGCGAGCGAACGGGGAACAGCCCAAACCAAAGUGCUUGCACUUUGGGGUUGUAGGACUGAACAUUUGAGUUACCAAAGAACUUGAUAGUCGAAGGAUUUGGGAAAAUCCGCCAUAGAUGGUGAUAGCCCAGUAGAUUAAAUCAAAUUCUCUCAGUUCAGGAUCCUGAGUACGGCGGAACACGUGAAAUUCCGUCGGAAUCCGGGAGGACCAUCUCCCAAGGCUAAAUACUACCUAGUGACCGAUAGUGAACCAGUACCGUGAGGGAAAGGUGAAAAGCACCCCGGGAGGGGAGUGAAAUAGUUCCUGAAACCAUGUGCCUACAAUAAGUCAGAGCGCGUUAAUGCGUGAUGGCGUGCCUUUUGUAGAAUGAACCGGCGAGUUAUGAUCCCGUGCAAGGUUAAGACUAAAAAGUCGGAGCCGUAGCGAAAGCGAGUCUGAAAUGGGCGUUUUGAGUACGAGGUUAUAGACCCGAAACCAGGUGACCUAUCCAUGUCCAGGUUGAAGGUGCGGUAAAACGCACUGGAGGACCGAACCCGUGUAAGUUGAAAAUUGCUGGGAUGAGGUGUGGAUAGCGGUGAAAUUCCAAACGAACUUGGAGAUAGCUGGUUCUCUCCGAAAUAGCUUUAGGGCUAGCCUCGGAAUUAGGAUCAUGGAGGUAGAGCACUAUUUGGACUAGGGGCCCGUCUUGGGUUACUGAAUUCAGAUAAACUCCGAAUGCCAUUGAUUCAUAUCCGGGAGUCAGACGAUGAGUGAUAAGAUCCACCGUCGAAAGGGGAACAGCCCAGACCAUCAGUUAAGGUCCCUAAAUGUAUGCUAAGUGGAAAAGGAUGUGGAGUUGCAUAGACAACUAGGAUGUUGGCUCAGAAGCAGCCACCAUUUAAAGAGUGCGUAAUAGCUCACUAGUCGAGUGAUCCUGCGCCGAAAAUGUACCGGGGCUAAGCAUACUACCGAAACCAUGGAUGCGACCAUUAGGUCGCGUGAUAGGAGAGCGUUCUAAGGGCGGUGAAGCAAGAUCGUGAGGACUUGUGGAGCGCUUAGAAGUGAGAAUGCCGGUAUGAGUAGCGAAAGAUAGGUGAGAAUCCUAUCCACCGAAUGACUAAGGUUUCCUGGGGAAGGCUCGUCCUCCCAGGGUUAGUCGGGACCUAAGUCGAGGCCGAGAGGCGUAGACGAUGGAUAACAGGUUGAGAUUCCUGUACUAGUUAAGUGCGUUUGAGCAAUGGAGGGACGCAGGAGGCUAAGAUGUGCAUUCUGUUGGAUUAGAAUGUCCAAGCAGUAAGUCUUGUGAAGAGUCAAAUGCUUUUCACUUUAAGGACAAGCUGUGAUGGGGAGCGAAAUUUAGUAGCGAAGCGUCUGAUGUCACACUGCCGAGAAAAGCUUCUAGUGAGUAUUUAACUACCCGUACCGCAAACCGACACAGGUAGUCGAGGAGAGAAUCCUAAGGUGAGCGAGUGAACUCUCGUUAAGGAACUCGGCAAAAUGACCCCGUAACUUCGGGAGAAGGGGUGCUGAUCGCAAGAUCAGCCGCAGUGAAUAGGCCCAGGCGACUGUUUAUCAAAAACACAGGUCUCUGCAAAAUCGUAAGAUGACGUAUAGGGGCUGACGCCUGCCCGGUGCUGGAAGGUUAAAAGGAUGGGUUAGCUUCGGCGAAGCUCAGAAUUGAAGCCCCAGUAAACGGCGGCCGUAACUAUAACGGUCCUAAGGUAGCGAAAUUCCUUGUCGGGUAAGUUCCGACCCGCACGAAAGGCGUAACGAUCUGGGCACUGUCUCAACGAGAGACUCGGUGAAAUUAUAUUGUCCGUGAAGAUGCGGACUACCCGCGACAGGACGGAAAGACCCCAUGGAGCUUUACUGUAGCUUGAUAUUGAGUGUUUGUACAGCUUGUACAGGAUAGGUAGGAGCCAUAGAAACCGGAACGCUAGUUUCGGUGGAGGCGUUGGUGGGAUACUACCCUCGCUGUAUGACCACUCUAACCCGCACCACUAAUCGUGGUGGGAGACAGUGUCAGGUGGGCAGUUUGACUGGGGCGGUCGCCUCCUAAAAAGUAACGGAGGCGCCCAAAGGUUCCCUCAGAAUGGUUGGAAAUCAUUCGCAGAGUGUAAAGGCACAAGGGAGCUUGACUGCGAGACAGACAGGUCGAGCAGGGACGAAAGUCGGGCUUAGUGAUCCGGUGGUACCGUAUGGAAGGGCCAUCGCUCAACGGAUAAAAGCUACCCUGGGGAUAACAGGCUUAUCUCCCCCAAGAGUCCACAUCGACGGGGAGGUUUGGCACCUCGAUGUCGGCUCAUCGCAUCCUGGGGCUGUAGUCGGUCCCAAGGGUUGGGCUGUUCGCCCAUUAAAGCGGUACGCGAGCUGGGUUCAGAACGUCGUGAGACAGUUCGGUCCCUAUCCGUCGCGGGCGUAGGAAAUUUGAGAGGACCUGUCCUUAGUACGAGAGGACCGGGAUGGACAUACCUCUGGUGUACCAGUUGUGCCGCCAGGCGCAUCGCUGGGUAGCUACGUAUGGAUGUGAUAAACGCUGAAAGCAUCUAAGUGUGAAACACACCUCGAGAUGAGAUUUCCCAUUCCUUUAUGGAAGUAAGACCCCUGAAAGAUGAUCAGGUAGAUAGGUUAGAAGUGGCAGUGCGGUGACGCAUGAAGCGGACUAAUACUAAUCGGUCGAGGACUUAACCAAG